AUAGUGCCACUUGCACCUCCUACUAUGGCGCCUCUAUCAAAUUUAGCUUCCUAGCCACCACCAUAAUUAGAGCAACCAUGGAUGCUUCCUUAGAACCCAGAGAGGAGACAAAUCCACCAAAGCCACCUUAAGAUCCAAGAACCAGCAAAGCGGCGAUCUUCCAGUGCAUGAUCAGGGCAUGAUUCGACCCCUGGUCACCGCUCUCCUCAGCACUCUGAGGCCUACACCAUUUGGGAUCUGACCAUAGAAAGGCAGUUCCAGGCUCUCGAUGAAAAGAUUGAUAAUGCUCUCAAUGAUAAUUCCUCGGCAC
rnacentral:lncRNA from 1 species